rnacentral:rRNA from 1 species
UACGGCGGGGGCAAGCGUUGUUCGGAAUCAUUGGGCGUAAAGCGCGUGUAGGCGGCCGGGUAAGUCUGAUGUGAAAGCCCGGGGCUCAACCCCGGAAGUGCAUUGGAUACUGCCUGGCUAGAGGGCGAGAGAGGAAAGUGGAAUUCCUGGUGUAGGGGUGAAAUCCGUAGAUAUCAGGAGGAACAUCAGUGGCGAAGGCGACUUUCUGGCUCGUUACUGACGAUGAGACGCGAAAGCGUGGGGAGCAAACAGG